AUACGUAGGGGGCGAGCGUUGUCCGGAAUGAUUGGGCGUAAAGGGCGCGUAGGCGGCGCGGUAAGUCUGGAGUGAAAGUCCUGUUUUUAAGAUGGGAAUUGCUUUGGAUACUGUCGGGCUUGAGUGCAGGAGAGGUAAGUGGAAUUCCCAGUGUAGCGGUGAAAUGCGUAGGGAUUGGGAGGAACACCAGUGGCGAAGGCGACUUACUGGACUGUAACUGACGCUGAGGCGCGAAAGUGUGGGGAGCAAACAGGAUUAGAUACCCUGGUAGUCCACACUGUAAACGAUGAAUGCUAGGUGUAGGGGGUAUCGACCCCUUCUGUGCCGCAGUCAACACAAUAAGCAUUCCGCCUGGGGAGUACGGCCGCAAGGUUGAAACUCAAAUGAAUUGACGGGG
rnacentral:rRNA from 1 species